GCGGACGUAGCUCAGUUGGUAGAGCGCAAGCUUCCCAAGCUUGAGGUCGCGGGUUCGACCCCCGUCGUCCGCU
rnacentral:tRNA from 3 species